ensembl:lncRNA
GUCACGCACAGCAGCCUGGAAGGAGCUGGCAUUUGUUGGGAAAGGGCAAAAAGACCAGCCAGAAGGCCACUGAGGACCCGCUCUGGUGUCCAGGGAGCUGAGGGCCCUGGGGGAGGAGGGCAGGAAUGGUCUUUACACCAGUUCUCCCCGCUUCUGUGCCAGGGGCCUUGGAUCCAUGAUGAGGAGGCUGGAAAUGAUUGGAGAGUGAGACCAGUCAAGGCCUUGAUGUAUUGCAUAACAUCCUCUAAUCCUAGGGAAGGGUCAAAGAUAGAAGCCAAAUGAUCAUACCAAUGAAACACAUUUCUAGACCAUCGGUGUUAAAGAUGGGUGAAGCUCAGUUGGUCCCAGCACCCGGAAGGAAGCUCCCCUGCUGUCAUUCCAAGCUCCUAGGGCACAGAAGGUGAGCCACGUGGGCACCAGAAGCAGCUCCCCCCCCCACCCCCGUGGAAAUGAGAAAACACAUAAACAAGCCUCAGAAACAGACUUCCAGGUCACCUACAGCAACCCCAAAGGGAAACGAGAUGGAACACUGAUACUCAACCACCUGGACUCCCUGAACUGGCAACAAAAGAGGAUCUGGGAAAAAUGAAAUCAGAAAUAAUUACUCAGAUAACAGCAGAGAUUUUGCUCAUGGUGCAAGACAUGAUUAAUAAAUCUAGAGAGGACACAGGUAAAAAAAUAGAGGAUUUGAGGAACAUGAUGGAAUCCCAACAUAGGAAACAAAUGGAAUCCAUAAAACAGAUACAAACAGAUUUCCAAGAGAUUAAAAACUCCAUCAAAAGUCUGCACAGCAGAAUGAACCAAUGUGAGGAUAGAAUUUCAGAUAUAGAAGAUAAGAUUGCAAUUAGUGAGGAGGAAAAGAAAAAUUGCUUUAAAAUUGUAAGGAAACAUGAGAAAUCAAUCUAGCAGCUGCUAGACGAUGCAAAGAAGAGUAACAUUAGACUGAUUGGAGUCAAUGAAGAAAGAGGAGAGAGUGCAGAUGACAUAAAAAAAAACUCUUCACAGAAGUGAUGGCAGAAAACUUCCCAAGGAGGGCAAAAGAACUUGACAUACAGAUAAGUGAGGCAUAUAGGGCUCCAGCUAACUUUAAUCAAAAAAAAUCUACACAUAGGCAUAUAAUAGUUAGGAUUCCAGAAAUCCAACAGAAGAACAAAAUUCUACAAGCAGUGAGAGAAAAGAAACAAAUCACAGACAAAGGAAAGCCCAUCAGAAUCACAGCAGACUUCUCAAUGCAAACCCUCAAG